rnacentral:rRNA from 1 species
GGGGGACCAUCCUCCAAGGCUAAAUACUCCUGACUGACCGAUAGUGAACCAGUACCGUGAGGGAAAGGCGAAAAGAACCCCGGCGAGGGGAGUGAAAAGAACCUGAAACCGUGUACGUACAAGCAGUGGGAGCCUCUUAAUGGGGUGACUGCGUACCUUUUGUAUAAUGGGUCAGCGACUUAUAUUCUGUAGCAAGGUUAACCGAAUAGGGGAGCCGAAGGGAAACCGAGUCUUAACUGGGCGUUAAGUUGCAGGGUAUAGACCCGAAACCCGGUGAUCUAGCCAUGGGCAGGUUGAAGGUUGGGUAACACUAACUGGAGGACCGAACCGACUAAUGUUGAAAAAUUAGCGGAUGACUUGUGGCUGGGGGUGAAAGGCCAAUCAAACCGGGAGAUAGCUGGUUCUCCCCGAAAGCUAUUUAGGUAGCGCCUCGUGAAUUCAUCUCCGGGG